rnacentral:rRNA from 1 species
UACAGAGGGGGCAAGCGUUGUUCGGAAUUACUGGGCGUAAAGGGCGCGUAGGCGGCCCGCUAAGUCGAACGUGAAAUCCCCGAGCUCAACUCGGGAACUGCGUCCGAUACUGGCGGGCUUGAAUCCGGGAGAGGGAUGCGGAAUUCCAGGUGUAGCGGUGAAAUGCGUAGAUAUCUGGAGGAACACCGGUGGCGAAGGCGGCAUCCUGGACCGGCAUUGACGCCGAGGCGCGAAAGCUAGGGGAGCAAACGGG